rnacentral:rRNA from 1 species
GACGUAGGGUGCGAGCGUUGUCCGGAUUUAUUGGGCGUAAAGGGCUCGUAGGCGGCCAACUAAGUCAGACGUGAAAUCCCCAGGCUCAACCUGGGAACUGCGUCUGAUACUGGAUGGCUUGAAUCCGGGAGAGGGAUGCAGAAUUCCAGGUGUAGCGGUGAAAUGCGUAGAUAUCUGGAGGAAUACCGGUGGCGAAGGCGGCAUCCUGGACCGGCAUUGACGCUGAGGAGCGAAAGCCAGGGGAGCAAACGGG